rnacentral:lncRNA from 15 species
GCUGCUGGAACAACUCCUCCAGGAGAUCGCUGCAGUGAGACGUUCUGCCCUAUUCCUCCCUUCCUCCCUCCCUUCCCACACGGACACCUGUUGAUAGUUGACUCUGUUUAGGACCCGAUCAGCGACGUCUCCAUGGCAACCUGCUGUGUUAUCGCGAUGACACCAUGUAAACUGAGGCACUGAGUGAGAGGCUAGACGAAGCGACCCUCCAGGCUUAUGUGCACACACGCACCCAUGGACACUUACACAGGUUUUUUUCCCAGUCCCAAACUGAGUCUGGGAGCUGCUUUUUUUCUCCUCCCCUCUCCUCUUGUUUCUCCCCCCCCUACAAGUAAUUUCCCCACAGGGAUUAUUAAAGUAUUUCUGAUUCUGAUUCUGAACUCAGCCCUGGAACCCAGUCCACUCAGCCCAAGCCUCCUGUAAGCCAGCCACUGGAUCCCCACACUCCAAGCCUGCCAGCCAGCCACUCUCUGGAUCACCCCCACCUCUGGACUCCCACUCUCGCCUGCCAGCUCCCCCUUUCACUAAUUCACUCUUUGUCUAAUAAACUGUUUACACUCUACCUCUUGUUAAGCUCACAAACUUGCACACACUAUGCAUAUUAUAGUGUAAUAAUCUGUGCUUAUAAGUGAAAAAUUGUGAGUACUUUCAAAGAUAAAUAUUAAAAUUAAAGAAAUAACCUUUUUCUGGUUGAGGCAGUGCUUGUUGUUUAGGAGGUAGACCCCUUUGUCAACUGCCACCAGACCCACUGUGGCUUCUGGAUCUCCAGUGACUUUCUGACCAAACAUCUUGCGAGGCUCAUAGGAUGAUGAACAUGUUGAUGCUUCUAGCGUCAACUAAAGGAGAAAGUAUACUUCUUUUUGGGAAAAAUACAAAUAACUUUAUCUCUUUGUUGUUUGCUGUGACGGUCCCCUGAGUGGCUAUAAUGUUUCCUCUUCCUUUUAAGGAAGAGGAGGAAGACUUCAGGAGGUGUCGAGUAACGCAGAGAUUUCACAACCACAGAAACCUGCAGCUGUGCUUCAUCAACAACAGUGACAGUGAAGACGAGGAGGAAGGAAGCAGCAAAAAGGUCUGUCAGCCUGUCUGUCUGUCUGUCUGCCUGCCCGCCUGCCCGCCUGUCAGCCUGUCUGUCUGUCUGUCUGUCUGUCUGUCUGUCUGUCUGUAGAAAGAUGGCGGUUCAGUAUGGCGGACUCUGCCAGACCAGGACCCCUCCCUCCAUUAUAUAUUAUAUUUAGAUCCUCCUCAGUGUUUCAAACUGGAGCUUUAACACCCCUUAAACCAGAUCAAACAAUAAUCAAUAACUGAUAACUGAUCACUGAUUUCAGUGCAGGACACAAACAUUGAUGAAUAUUAUUUCCUCCUCUGGUUUAUCUCAAUUCAAUUCAAUUCAAUUCAAUUUUAUUUGUAUAGCGCCAAUUCAUAACAGAAGUUAUCUCAGGACACUUUUCAAAUAGAGCAGGUCUAGACCGAACUCUUUAAAACAUUAAUUACAGAGACCCAACAGUACCACCAUGAGCAAGACCUUGGAGACAAGGGCAAGGAAACACUGCCUGUUAAAAGGCAGAAACCUAGGACAGAUCCUCCGGCUCUAGGUGGGUGGUCGUCUGCCUCGACCGGUUGGGGUGAGAGAGAGGCAGAGAGAGAGAGAGACGAGAGACAGACAGACAGACAGGUGCACAGCAACAACAGUAUUGGCAAUGGCAAUCUAGCAGGACCAUGGCAGGAGGCUCCACCAGUAUCAAUAAGAACCUGCGAGACGAGAAAGCACAAGAACUCUGGGGAAGAAGUGAAGUUAGUAACAUGCAUUAAUGGAACAUGAAUGAGUGCAGAAAGAGAGAGGAAGAGAGUAGCUCAGUGCACCAUGGGAAAUCCCCCGAUAGUCUAGGCCUAUAGCAGCAUAACUAAGGGAUGGUUCAGGACUCACCUGAUCCAGCCCUAACUAUAAGCUUUAUCAAAGAGGAAUGUCUUAAGCCUACUCUUGAAUGUGGUGAGGGUGUCUGCCUCCCGAACCACAACUGGAAGCUGGUUCCACAGGAGAGGAGCUUGGUAACUGAAGGCUCUGGCUCCUGUUCUACUUUUAGAGACUAUAGGAACCACAAGUAGCCCAGCAUUCAGAGAACGUAGUGUUCUAGAGGGGUAAUAGGGUACUAUGAGCUCUUUAAGAUAUGAAGGGGCCUGACCAUGAAGAGCUUUAUAGGUGAGGAGGAGGAUUUUAAAUUCAAUUCUACAUUUUACAGGGAGCCAAUGCAGAGAAGCUAGUACAGGAGAGAUGUGAUCUCUUUUUCUAGUUCCUGUCAGUACUCGUGCUGCAGCGUUUUGAAUUAAUUGGAGCGUUUUAAUGGACUUAUUGGGGCAACCUGAUAAUAAAGAGUUGCAGUAAUCCAGCCUUGAAGUAACAAAUGCAUGGAUUAGUUUUUCUGCAUCUGUCUGUGAUAGUAUGUGUCUAAUUUUUGUAAUAUUAUGUAAAUGAAAGAAGGCUGUCCUAGAGGUCUGCUUUAUGUGGGAGUUAAGUGACAAAUCCUGAUCAAAGAUAACUCCAAGAUUCCUGACAGUGGUGCUAGAGGCCAAGGUAAUGCCAUCUAGAGUAACUAUAUCUUUAGACAGUGAGUCUCUAAGGUUUUUGGGGCCAAGAACAAGAAUUUCGGUUUUUUCUGAGUUUAACAUCAGAAAAUUGCAGGUCAUCCAGGAUUUUAUGUCCUUAAGACAUGUUUGUAAUUUAGAUAAUUGAUUAAUUUCAUUGGGCUUGAUUGAUAGAUAUAACUGCGUAUCAUCUGCAUAACAGUGAAAGUUAAUGGAGUGAUUCCUAAUAAUGUUGCCUAAAGGGAGCAUAUAUAAAGUAAAUAGUAUAGUAUUUUCUAGGCAUGUUUAACUGGAACGUA